rnacentral:lncRNA from 1 species
CAAACUGAAGCCUUUAAGGAAAUGGCACCCAUGGCUCAGGUGAAUUGGUAUGGAAACCAAAUGGGUGAUGAAGCAGUGGUGGGCUCUAGGGACCCCUGACUCUGCUCUCAUUCUCUGAGGUGGCUAGUGAGACCUGUCAUGGAAAGUUGGGGCUUCAAAGAACACAGCUGGAAACUCAUGUGGCUACUGUGACCAGUUUCACAAGAAAAGCCUAGAUCUGAGGCCUGGUGGGCAAACUGUCAAGGGAACACAUCUGGGGUUUCUUGAUAAAUGUGGCAGGAAAAAUAGGACUUCACCAUCUGGAAGGAUUUUUGAGGUAUAUAAAGUUUUAAAGAUACAUAUACAAGAUUUUUUUUAAAACAACCUUGUGAUGGUGAGUUGUAAUCUUGCUUAAUUACUUAUUUUCUUGUUUUUAUCCACUUUUCCAAGUAGACUGUGAACAGCUUGGGAGAAGGGCCUCACCUGUUCUGUGGGCACCUCAGUCUCUGGCUCAGUGGCUAACCCACCGGUGAGCACUAAGGAAGUCUGCAUGACCAUAUAUAAUCCAAGCACUUGGGAGGUUGAGGUAGGCUGGUCUAGAGUUCAAGGUCUCGGGCAACAUAGUGAAACCCUGUGUCAGAAAUGAAUAAAUAAACUUUAAACACUGGUUUAGGACCAGGCAGGCCAACAGGGAGCAUUUUCUUCUUUUACAGGUCAAG